UACGGAGGGUGCAAGCGUUAUCCGGAUUCACUGGGCUUAAAGGGUGCGUAGGCGGAUUGGUAAGUCCGUGGUGAAAUCUCUAAGCUUAACUUGGAAACUGCCAUGGAUACUAUUAGUCUUGAAUAUUGUGGAGGUUAGCGGAAUAUGUCAUGUAGCGGUGAAAUGCAUAGAUAUGACAUAGAACACCAAUUGCGAAGGCAGCUGGCUACACAAAUAUUGACGCUGAUGCACGAAAGCGUGGGGAUCAAACAGG
rnacentral:rRNA from 1 species